UAGGAUGAACAAUGGUCCCAGUAUGCCCAGU
rnacentral:piRNA from 1 species